AUUUGCGGCCCAUAACCUAGAUCUGUAUCAAAAGGCCCAAAGAAAAUCUCCACAUAUAUCUAAUAUCCUCGCCUUUUGAAAUAGAUCUUGGCGUUAUGGGUUGCAAACCUG